rnacentral:rRNA from 1 species
AAUGAACGCUGGCGGCAUGGAUUAGGCAUGCAAGUCGAACGGACCGGAUUUCGCAAGAAGGACGGUCAGUGGCGAAAGGGUGAGUAACACGUGAGUAACCUGCCCCCGAGUCCGGGAUAGCCCGCGGAAACGCGGAUUAAUACCGGAUGUGGUACCCCGUCGCAUGGCGGGGCCACUGAAGAUUUAUCGCUAGGGGAUGGACUCGCGGCCCAUAAGCUUGUUGGCGGGGUUACGCCCACCAAGGCUAUGACGGGUAGGUGGUCUGAGAGGAUGGUCACCCACACUGGGACUGAGACACUGCCCAGACUCCUACGGGAGGCAG